AACAGGGCUGAGAUACAUGUCACU
rnacentral:piRNA from 1 species